UGGGGAAUAUUGGACAAUGGGCGCAAGCCUGAUCCAGCCAUGCCGCGUGAGUGAUGAAGGCCUUAGGGUUGUAAAGCUCUUUCACCGGAGAAGAUAAUGACGGUAUCCGGAGAAGAAGCCCCGGCUAACUUCGUGC
rnacentral:rRNA from 1 species